rnacentral:rRNA from 1 species
ACACAUGCAAGUCGAGCGAAGACUUCGGUCUUAGCGGCGGACGGGUGAGUAACGCGUGGGAACGUGCCCUUCACUACGGAAUAGUCCCGGGAAACUGGGUUUAAUACCGUAUACGCCCUUCGGGGGAAAGAUUUAUCGGUGAAGGAUCGGCCCGCGUCUGAUUAGAUAGUUGGUGGGGUAACGGCCUACCAAGUCGACGAUCAGUAGCUGGUUUUAGAGGAUGAUCAGCCACACUGGGACUGAGACACGGCCCAGACUCCUACGGGAGGCAGCAGUGGGGAAUCUUAGACAAUGGGCGCAAGCCUGAUCUAGCCAUGCCGCGUGAGUGAUGAAGGCCUUAGGGUCGUAAAGCUCUUUCGCCAGGGAUGAUAAUGACAGUACCUGGUAAAGAAACCCCGGCUAACUCCGUGCCAGCAGCCGCGGUAAUACGGAGGGGGUUAGCGUUGUUCGGAAUUACUGGGCGUAAAGCGCGCGUAGGCGGACUAUUAAGUCAGGGGUGAAAUCCCGGGGCUCAACCCCGGAACUGCCCUUGAUACUGGUAGUCUUGAGUUCGAGAGAGGUGAGUGGAAUUCCGAGUGUAGAGGUGAAAUUCGUAGAUAUUCGGAGGAACACCAGUGGCGAAGGCGGCUCACUGGCUCGAUACUGACGCUGAGGUGCGAAAGUGUGGGGAGCAAACAGGAUUAGAUACCCUGGUAGUCCACACCGUAAACGAUGAAUGCCAGUCGUCGGGUAGCAUGCUAUUCGGUGACACACCUAACGGAUUAAGCAUUCCGCCUGGGGGAGUACGGUCGCAAGAUUAA